rnacentral:tRNA from 1 species
GCCUGGAUGGCUCAGUCAGUUAAGCGUCCGACUUCAGCUCAGGUCAUGGGUUUGAGCCCCAUGUCAGGCU